CCCAUUUCAUUUCUUCAGUUGACCUUUAUAAGCUAAAUCCAUUCCAGUUUGUAUACGUUAGUUCACCUGUCUUUUAUAUACUUCAUGGAGUGAAAGGUCCAAUCUCCCUGCACCAAUUGCCCUUUCAGACCAUACAUGACCUGUCUUAAAAGUCUAUAGCUCAAUAGACUAUUUUGUCGAAACCAGCGGGUGAGGAUUCACGACCAGCCGGCCGGUUCACCAAAUUCUACAGUACUUAAUAGUACCCGAGAGCAUUUAAAAUCAUUCUCAAGUUAUCAUUUCUCCCUCCAAAGACCUCAUGCUUCCGAAAAAUUUACCCGAAGCAAGGUUGCUACUAUUCCAUUGGGGCAUAUGGCUAGGGAAGAGAGUUACGAUACCAUUUGGUUCCGAACUACCACAGAUCAAGACAAUUGGCCCCAUUUCGUGUCUCGGGCAACGAUCGUGGAACGGCUAAUUAGAAUACAUGACCUCCAAGCCUUCAAGGUAAAAGAAAGAUUUGAGGCUUUAGGGUGGGAAGCAAUGUUGAAAGUUGAAGAAGAGGUGUAUCCUAGGUUAAUCUGGGUUUUUUAUUACAACUUAACCGGAAAGCACCUAGUAAUGGGGACUAUAAGAUAGUCAGUAGAGUAGGAGGUCAAGAAAUAUCUCUCACUACAGCUGAAUUUGGAGCUAUCAUUGGGGUAUCUAAUGAGGGAAACAAGACCUACUGUCCUCUUAGGACUAGCUCUCGGGGUUUCUUCACUGACACCGAGAAAGACUUUAUUAAGGCCAUAGUAAUUGAGGGUGGUGAGGCUAGCUGGGCCCUAAUAGCUACCUGAAGGCCUUCUCCUAGGGUAUUGUGUAGAAUUGUGCAAUACAACCUUCUUCCUAUCGGUGGCCACUUCAGUGAGGUAUCACUGAUGCAAGCAUACAUUGCUUUUUAUCUCUACAUAGGAGAGCAGACAAGUCUCCGUUACUUGAUGCUGAGACACAUCGUACAUCAGGCCUAUCACCCCAGUGAUGGUCUUGUUUUAUAGUAAGGUGUUGACCAAGGUAUUUAAACAUAUGAGAAUCUUCUUGGAGGGUGAGAAGAAGAAGGAUUCAUAUGCCAAUCCCUUUGAUAGAUCCAUCUUGGAGUAAAUACAACUCCAUGAGUAUGUAGGCAGUGAUAUAGAAGAGGUACCUACAGCUGAGAAGGAGUCAGGGGACUAGGAGGAUGGUGAGCUGCACAUGAAUGAUGAUGAGCAGCAUGAGGUGGAGGAGAUACAACAUAGAGAUGAAGAGAUGCAUAAGGAGGAGGUACUUGUGGUGUAUGAGGAGCAAGAAAGGGAAUUACCACAGAGAGAUGAGAGAGAGAUUCCACUCAGAGAUGAGAAGCAACACGAGGAGGAUCCCCUUCGAGACUUCCAUAUCAAUGAUGUGGAUUUCGGUCUCCACAGGUUCACUAUUGAUGAGAUUGAGAAUUUAGGAGCACAACUUCCCCGUGUUCCAAAAGAGAGUAUUCAUGGCACCACCCCUACUGAGAAUAUUCCACAAACCACCCAUAUAUCUUCUCAAACUCCAUUCAUGACAGCUCUAGAGACUACCUAGCCCACUACUCAGGCUGGAGGUAAAUCUCAUUCAAAACUUUUAUUAACUACAUUUUUUUUUUUUUACAUUUGAUAAUUUGGCUUUCGGUCAUUUCUCGUCCUAAUCCAAGUUUAC